AGUUUUAUCAUGAAAAGUUACAGAUCAAGUUCAGGUCUGAUGAUUUUGUACAGAGUAAUGGUUCUUGAACCCCUUCAAAAUUCACUGAAAUAAUCAGUUUUCCUCAGUCUUUUUCGUCAUGCUUGAAAAUAUUGAUUUGAUAAUUAGUAAUAUAGUUUUAUCCUCUCAAGUUACAAAUCAAGUUUGAAUUUGUCCCGACCUGAUGAUUUUGUGCAGAAAUAUAGUCCCUGGAUGUAGAAAAUUCACUGAAAUAAUCAGUUUACCACACCUUAUUUCGUCAUUCUUGAAGAUAUUGACCCAAUAUUAGAUAUAAAGUUUACACCAUGACAAGUUAUAUAUCAAGUUGGCAUUUUGAUAAGGUACAAUGAAUUUUUAACCAGUAGAUGUAUUGCCAUGCACUACUCUCAGAAUGCUUGUUCUAAUUAAUCCUGUGACUUAUUUUUUUUAUUUCAAAUCUUCCUUAGUAGGACUCCCUGGUACAUGGUCAAGUAAAAGAAGUAAAACUAAACAUAAUGGAUGAAAGUUUACUGAUUUCUGACUAUUUUUUGGUGCAAAUAAACACAAAAAGGUUAAUUAGUUUCCUAUUCAAAUUGUACCUGUUGAAGCUUGAUAUUAUUUCUUUACGGUGCUCUUUUUUGACCAAUUACUAGUACUGGGAUGUCUUACCACAAGUAAGUUG
rnacentral:lncRNA from 1 species